UAAAGCAACAUUAAUAUCCCCCAUUUUACUUGAUGUUGCUGAUUUUGUUUAGGGCUAUAUUUUUAUAAUUUUAUAUUUUUAGAGCAAAGACUUAUCACGUGUUUCAGACAUGUUGAUGGAGUCUUUGCUUAAGGACUUAGAAGAUGAAGACCAACAAUUGGGUCAAAUUCAAGAAACAUCAACCUUGAGUGUCAUAGGUGAGGCUGUCUCCAUGUCAGUGGAUGUGGAUGUGAAUGAUGAUACCGAUGAUACAGAUGAUGUUACACCUGUACCUCUACCAUGUUCAUCCACUCCUGUCCACUCGAGAUCAGAGCCACCAGAAGUUCUGAAACCCCUCCCAAGGUAUCCCUUGAACAGUGAACAUCAAGGCUGCAGUAAAUGUGACCGUUUGGCGGUUACUGUUGAGAAUCUGCAAAAACAGAUUCUUGACCAGAACAACAACAUGUACCAGCUACAUUUACGGCUUUACCAGAUGGAACAAUAUCAAUAUAAUUCCCAGAGCCAUAACACCCAGAAUCAAAAUGGUCAAAGCUACAUCUCGCAGACCAAUAAUCAGGCCAAUGAAACGCAGAGAAUGUUAGUGACUCCAAAGUCACCAUCUCAACUUGGUUCGACAGAGAGAUGUGAGCCUGGUGUCCCAACUCAAGUUCUUUAUUAGAGAU